rnacentral:rRNA from 1 species
AUUGCCCCAGUAACGGCGAGUGAAGCGGCAACAGCUCAAAUUUAAAAUCUGGCCCUUCUGGGGUCCGAGUUGUAAUUUGCAGAGAGGAUUUCGGGCGCGGUGCCGGUCUAAGUUCUUUGGAACAGGGCGUCAUAGAGGGUGAGAAUCCCGUAUGUGACUGGCAUUCAACCCCAUGUGAAGCCUCUUCGACGAGUCGAGUUGUUUGGGAAUGCAGCUCAAAAUGGGUGGUAAAUUUCAUCUAAAGCUAAAUACCGGCCAGAGACCGAUAGCGCACAAGUAGAGUGAUCGAAAGAUGAAAAGCACUUUGGAAAGAGAGUCAAAAAGUACGUGAAAUUGUUGAAAGGGAAGCGCUUGCAACCAGACCUGCCCACGGGUGAUCAGCCGUCCUUCUGGGCGGUGCACUCGCCCGUGAUCAGGCCAGCAUCGGUCCGGGCGGUCGGACAAAGGCCCCGGGAAUGUGGCUCCCUCCGGGGAGUGUUAUAGCCCAGGGUGCAAUGCGGCCAGCCGGGACCGAGGACCACGCUUCGGCUAGGAUGCUGGCGUAAUGGUUGUAAGCGGCCCGUCUUGAAACACGGACCAAGGAGUCUAACAUCUAUGCGAGUGUUUGGGUGUUAAACCCACGCGCGGAAUGAAAGUGAACGGAGGUGGGAGCCCGCAAGGGUGCACCAUCGACCGAUCCUGAUGUCUUCGGAUGGAUUUGAGUAGGAGCAUAGCUGUUGGGACCCGAAAGAUGGUGAACUAUGCCUGAAUAGGGUGAAGCCAGAGGAAACUCUGGUGGAGGCUCGCAGCGGUUCUGACGUGCAAAUCGAUCGUCAAAUUUGGGUAUAGGGGCGAAAGACU